UGUGUGUGUGUGUGUGUGUAUUCACCUCACUUAUUUAAACAAUGAAAACAUUUUUUCUGUAUUUUUUCUUCCUCCUGAAAUGAUUCCAAAGAUUUUUACUAAAAGGCAUUUUUUUUUAUAUAAAUUUAAUAUUUUUACACACACACACACACGCACACACAUACACACACAUAUAUGUAUUAUAUAUACCUACAUGCAUUUGUAUGCAUAUGUAUGGGAAGUGACUGUGUGUACACAUGUCUAUGUAAGUGUGUAUAUAUAUAUAUGUGUGUGUAUGUUUGUGUGUUUAUAUAUACUAUAGAAAAGAAAUGUUAUUGGGAGAUAUGCGCAUAUCUCUGUAUUUGUAUGUGUGCAUGCACGUGUAUGUAUAUGCAUAUAUAUAUAAUGUAUGUAUGUAAGUAGGCAUGUUUGAUAUGUGUGUGUGUGUGUGUGAGAGAGUAUGUAAACACAAUAAAGUAUAUGUAUAUUAACCAAGAUCCUCAGAUACACAGCUCAUACUCACACACAGACACACAUGACACAUACUUGUGUGUACACAAUUCUUGGUGACUUGUGUAGACUCUUGGAUAUUUCUAAGAAACCGGUGUUGAAAUAGAGAAACCAAAUGGAGGAACCUUCAUUUUUUAAAUUAUUUUUUUCCUUAUUCCAUGUGGAAUAUGUAAAUAGUUUUUUUUUUUACUUUAUUUUACUUUUUUAAAUUUUUUUUUAUUUUCUCUAAGUGUUAUUUGUGCAUCUGAGACAAGCUGAAGUUGAGUGUCACUUGAGUGAGUGAAGCUGUUGUAGAGUGUGAUGUGUCAAAGAACAGGAUUAUUUGAAAAAGACACUUUUGGAGUGUUGUUUGUUUUUCUUUGUGAAACAAAGACCGGGUCUUGUCUGAUGAUGAAGAUUUUGGCCUGUCAUGAAUGGAAUAUGAAAACUCCAAAUAAUCUUUAUUGAGUGCAACAUUGGACUUUAAAAAAACUUCUUUUUUUUUGUUUUUGUUUUUGGGGUGGGGUGGAGGUUGAGAAACAAGGCUGAGUCUUGUUUGGUGAAGAUUUUGGUCUGUCUUGAAUGAUGGAAUAUGAAGUAAAAUAUCUUUUUUUUAAGUGCAACAUUGGCCAUGAAGAAUUGGCAUUGUCCUGAUAAUUAGGCUCUCUCUCUCUUUCUCUUUCUCUGUCAGUCUGUCUCUCUCCCUCUCAGUGCAACCUCUUUUCUAAUUUGGUCAUCAAAAACUGGACCUAUGUAACAAGGUUCUAUCACUUAUCUCUGGAAUAGGGACCUGAUAUGUAAUGUGACAAGCUCCCAUGUUGCAUGCACCCUUUCGAAAUACAGAUAGAAAUGUAACAAAACCCUGUCACAUCCUUCUGAAAUAGUGAUAUAUAUAACAAAGCCCUGUGUUACUCAUCUGAAAUAAACAAUAAACAUGUAACUCGGCCCUGUUACAGUUCUGUGAAAUAAUUAUAAGAUGUAACUUGAGCCCUGUUACACUCUUCAGUAAUGGUGAUAAAUUUUUGCAAGUUCUUGUUACACUCCUUUUGAAAUAAGGAUAAAUUUGUAACAGGACCUGUCAAGCUCUUGUUACAUUAAUAUGUAACAAGAUCCUGUCACACCUGAAUCAGUAUGUAACAAUGUGAUGUCACAUCCCUCUGAAAUUGUGAUCACCAUAUAUCAACAUGCUGUCCUACUCCUCCAAAAUAGUGAUUAUUAUGUAACAAGGUGCUGUGACAUCUGGCUGGUAUUAUGAUCCAUAUGUAACAAAGUGCUGUCACAUCAUUGUGUAACAUAGUCCUGUCACACUUCUUUUUUUUUUAAAUAAUAAUUUUAAAAAAUGUCACCCCUGCCUUCAGUGGUUACAGAUAUGUAACAACACUGUGACACCCUCAUUGAAAUGAUAACCCUAACCCUCAUUAAAAAAAAAUAAUGAUAACUAUGUAACAAGAUCCUGUUACAACCUCCACCCACCACCCCUACUGCAAUGGUGACCAAUACACAAGAGAAUUCAUGUCGCGGUACAAUAAAAAAAAAACUCUUAAACCCUCCUAAAAAAACCAAAAUUUUACAUAUCUUUUGUGAUAUUUAUUUUUGCUGUUGUUCGUUUUUAUUUCUUAUUAACCUGUAUUUUGGUAUCUUUUUUCUCUUUUUAAACCUUUCUCUUUGUCUUUGGAAUAAUGAUAUUUUUACCUGAGAUUCUCUGAUGUUCGUUUAUUACAACACUGCAAUGAGCUUUUUUAUAUGUCGUGUCAUUUUCUUGCCAAAUUUAGUUUCCAUCAGUUCAACCUAUGAUAUGUUCACCUUUUCCAAUGCGUUCACCUUCUUUGAUCACUCCAUCCUUUACCUGUUCACUAUUUUUCAGCCUGUUCACUUCACCCUUUUUACCUGUUCACUUUUUUACACAUUCAUCUUCUUUGUUCACUUCACCUGUUCACCUUCUUCGUUCACUUCGCCCAUUCACCUUUGAUCACUUCACCUUUUUUCCUGUUCACCUUCUUUAUUCACUUCACCCAUUCACCUUUGAUCACUUCACCUUUUUUCCUGUUCACCUUCUUUAUUCACUUCACCCAUUCACCUUCUUUGAUCACUUGAUCUUUUAAUCUGUUCACUUUCUUCAACCACUUCACCUUUUGAUCUGUUCACCUUUAUCAAUCAGUUUCACCUUUUACCUGUUCACUUUCAACACUCAGUUUUCCUUUAAUCAGUCAACCUUCCAUGAUUAGUGCACCUGUGAUCCGUUCACUUGAUUCAAUCAGUUCACUUUUCUUCCUUGAACAAGCUUGGGGGACAAACCCUCAGCCUUCGACAGGUUUACGCCACUUCUGUUGUCUUUAACAACCUGGCCCCGCUUUUUACCCCUGUUUCCCUUGUGGGAACCUGCCUGGACAGUUUCACCUCUGGUUUUUGUACACCACCCCAAACCCCCUACCCCUUCCUGCCCUGCAUUGUACAGCUUCUCUAGUCAACUCAGACUGAACCCUUCCAGCCAUGACACUUACCAAAUAAAACCUUUUGAUUGAUUCGUGAAUAUUCUCGAAUAAACCAGAAUGCAGUCUGAGACUGAAUCCAAUUGGUUAUCCUCCCCAUCCCCUCCUACCAGAUCCACCUCUCAUCUUCUCACUUUGUAUCUUAUUGGUUCCCCCAGAUACACCUCUCUCUCUCUCUCUCCCCACACACCCACAUUCCAUUUAUCUUGCUAGAAGACUAUUGGUAAUCACUCAAAAUUCCAACAUUGGUGACCCUGCCCUGUACCUCCAUACUACCCCACUCCCCACCCCCACAGGUAUUUCAGUUAAACAACCAGUUCUUUAAUAUAUCCAUCUUUCCGUCACCACACACACACAGAUACACACACACACGCAUGCACACACAGACAUAUUUACAAUGUUUCUCAAAGACAUCUAAAUAUUUGGCCAGCUUCCACUUCGACUCCCAUCCUCCUCAUCAUUAUCGGCAUUGUCAUCAUAACCAUCAUCAUCAUCAUCAUCAUCAUAAUCAUCAAGAUCAUCAUCUGUGUUUUCGUUUUCCUUUUUCUUCCCCCCCAUGCUGGCAUGGGUCAGACAGUCAGUCCUGCAGGACCUUGCCACAAGCAGGGUGAAUUUUAUCCUACCCCUGUUCCAGGACAGGUGUGCCUGCGGCAGGACUGUGGAGUCACCCUUCUUCUUCCUUCUCACCUCAGACUUUGUGUUUUGUUUUUGUUUUUUUUGUCUUUUUGUUUCCUUUUUUUAGAGAGUUAGUGUUGACACUCUUCAUAUUUUGUAACUCCAUACUCUCUUUCUCUUGACACCAUCACCACCACCACCGCCGCUGCCGCCAUCUACAUCAGUCAUUAAACAUAUUUUCCUCCAUCACCACACUCGAUUAUUCCCCCUCCCCACCACACACACACAACCCCCACUACCUGUACUGAUACUUGAACAUUCUGCCUCCCUCACUGCCUCUUUCUCUCUUCCAAUCUUCAUUGUACAUGAUGAAAGCAACAGAAGACAUAUACCUUGAAACAAUGUUUAUCCCUCUUCACACACUCACUCUCUCUUUCUCUCCCUUUCUCUCUCUCUCUCUCCAUAUAUAUAUAUAUAUAUAUAACAUGAGGGAGUUGUUUAUAAGAUAUUUAGUAAUGUUAUCUUACACAUGUUUCAUUAACAAUGAAUAUUUAUUACAUAAUCAACAUGCAUUGUCAAAUCUCCAGAGAGAUGUAACCUUUAUAUGUAACAUUACUGGAUUAUUUGACAUAAGUUACUAACCUGGGUAUAGCAACUAUAUACAUAUUCAUAUGGAUAUAUAUAUAUAUAUAUAUAUAUAUAUAUAAAAUUAGUUUGAAAUUUAAAUAAUUUACAUAUAGACCUGUUUCUCUCCUGUGGAAGUCCUUCAGGCGUCAUUUGUUAUGGAAGAUGGGGGAAGAUGUGCCCUGUGAUCAGAGUGGAAGGAACCUGUGAAAGAGUGAGGAACAAUAAAGAAUAAGAAGUUGUGGAAGAAGGAAAUUACAAAGGGUUGCUUGCAUGUGUUGAUGUGGUGUGCCAAGUAGCGAGACUUUGGUGGCUUGAAGGAGAGACCCGUCCAACUUGUGGGAAAAGCGUGGAAGAAAACAUUAUGAAUGUGAUGAUGAUGAUAAUGAUUGUGGUGGUGAUGAUGAUGAUGUAAUCAACUAAAGCGCCAUUAGAUUUUGAGGGAAGAAAAACAAUUUUCUAGAUAUUUCUAUAUUUCUAUACUUUAAUCUCUAUAUGACUUGAACAGACACACACACAUACACACUCUCUAUACACAUAAACACACAGUUGUAUAUCCCAAUUGUAAAUAAUUCUAGGACUAAUAUUGAGUUAGUCCUACUUAAUCUAAAGCCACCUAAUCUUGAUAAAACACCUGCUGGAAUAUAUUUAAAAAUAUAUAUAUAUAUUAUAUAUGAUAUAAAAAGUAAACAAUUUUUAUCCUACAUCUGUCACCAAUAGCAACUAACUUUUAUCAACUACAUCAUAUUAAAUAUUUUUGGACUCUUCCAUAUGGCUUUUUUUUCCUUCUUGACCUGUUCCAUACCAUUUCUUAUACACCCCCUUUGUUUCUUUGGACUCUUCCACACAGCAUCUUGUAAUAAUAAUUGCUUCCUUUUAUGGACUAAUCCAUACAGUUUCCUGUAUAACUUGCAUAACCUUUUAUUUUUUUCACAUGGACUUUUCCAUCUAGUUUCUUGUAUGACUCUUCCUUUAAUGGACUAUUCUAUUUAGCUUCUUGUAUAACACUUCCUUUAAUGGACUGUUCCAUAUAGCUUCUUGUACAGUACUUCCUUUAACAGACUGUUCCAUAUAACUUCUUGUUUAACACUUCACUUAAUGGACUGCUCCAUAUCCAUACAGAUUCUUGAAUUACCUUUUCUUCCUUGGAAUGAUCCACACAGUUGUUGUAAUAACCAUUCCUUAUAAUGGACUGUUCCAUGCAACUUGUCAUAAUCCCCUUUUCACAUAAUGGACUGUUCCAUAAGUAAAUGUGAUGUUCAAUGCCCCCCUAACACACACAUACACACACACAUAGUCUUUGAGAUUUCAAUAACCAAUCAGUCUUAAUAGAGCCAUAAUACAAGGUAUGAUGUGUCACUGUGGAUGGUCACCUAUCAUCCUCUCCAGAUCCUUGGGAGGAUUAUGUGAACUAACAAAACUUCAUCAACGUGAACAUCAAUUAAAAAACUUUACUUCUUUCUUUAACGAACCAAAAUGGGAGACCUCUAUGAAGUCUCUUGGCCUGCUAGAAAUAGUAGCCAAAUCUUCAAAUUACAUCCCAACUUCUUAAAAAAAAACUCAAAAUAUAAAAAAAAAAAACAGAAGGGCACAUAGGAUAAUGUAGUCCUAGAUAGACUAUGCCUGAAAAUGAUAUUUUCUCAUUCUUUCUUAGUCAUAAGGAAGAGAUCCUAGCUGGGCUGUUCUUAAUUCUUGGUGUUUCACCUCCUACCCCCACUACCUCCCACUUUUGCCUAUCACUAUAAGUGCCACCAUGGCCCUAUUGCUCGUCUUUUUAUAUGGCACUCUGAGGUGCCAUGAUGUUGCUUUCUAUAUAGAAUUACAACCUCCCUUCCAUCUUAUCCUACUCUUUGCUGCCAUUUUCUAAGAAUACAUGGUAUUAACUAGUAAUAAAAA